rnacentral:rRNA from 1 species
AUUGAACGCUGGCGGCAUGCUUUACACAUGCAAGUCGAACGGCAGCGCGGGCUUCGGCCUGGCGGCGAGUGGCGAACGGGUGAGUAAUGCAUCGGAACGUGCCCAGUAGUGGGGGAUAGCCCGGCGAAAGCCGGAUUAAUACCGCAUACGACCUGAGGGUGAAAGCGGGGGACCGAAAGGCCUCGCGCUAUUGGAGCGGCCGAUGCCGGAUUAGCUAGUUGGUGGGGUAAAGGCUUACCAAGGCGACGAUCCGUAGCUGGUCUGAGAGGACGACCAGCCACACUGGGACUGAGACACGGCCCAGACUCCUACGGGAGGCAGCAGUGGGGAAUUUUGGACAAUGGGGGCAACCCUGAUCCAGCCAUGCCGCGUGCGGGAAGAAGGCCUUCGGGUUGUAAACCGCUUUUGUUCGGGAAGAAAUCCUCUGGGCUAAUACCCCGGGGGGAUGACGGUACCGGAAGAAUAAGCACCGGCUAACUACGUG